AGAGUUUGAUCCUGGCUCAGAACGAACGCUGGCGGCAGGCCUAACACAUGCAAGUCGAACGAUGCCUUCGGGCAUAGUGGCGCACGGGUGAGUAACACGUGGGAACAUACCUUUUGGUGGGGGAUAACUUCGGGAAACUGAAGCUAAUACCGCAUACGCCCCUUGGGGGAAAGAUUUAUCGCCGAAAGAUUGGCCCGCGUCCGAUUAGCUAGUUGGUGAGGUAAUGGCUCACCAAGGCUCCGAUCGGUAGCUGGUCUGAGAGGAUGACCAGCCACACUGGGACUGAGACACGGCCCAGACUCCUACGGGAGGCAGCAGUGGGGAAUAUUGGACAAUGGGCGCAAGCCUGAUCCAGCCAUGCCGCGUGAGUGAUGAAGGCCUUAGGGUUGUAAAGCUCUUCACCCACGACGAUGAUGACGGUAGUGAGAAGAG
rnacentral:rRNA from 1 species